UAGGAUUGCAAACUAAAGCCAAAACCAAGGAAUCUGAAUUUGAAAAACCAAUAAAUUCAGCAUCAGCAGGUGUGUAGAUGUGACUGGAGCUUACAGUGCUCUAAAGACGGAGCUUAACAUAAGCUUGACAGCAAUAGGCCUUUUGUGGACUACAACUGGCUUUAUUGCAAAGAGGAUUACACAUGGACCUGUGGAAGAAAGGGAAACAAGAAAGGGAAACAGGUAUAUGACAAGUGCACAACAAAUGGACUCACAACAAAGACAUGUGCACAAAGGAUGAUGAAUUGAAGGAUGGAGCAAGUUUCAUGCAUGGUUUACUUUUGUGUACCUUGUAAUUUUUUUGUUUUUCAUUUUUGAAGUAAAAAAUUUUCAAGAUUAUAAAACUUUAUUAUGUUAUGCUUUCAAACUUAAGUUAGAACUAAGAUCUCAUGAAAUAGACACAUUCAGAGUUUGAAUUAGUUAUUGUUUAAUGUAAUACUUAUGGUUUAUCAAUCUAUUGAGAAUUAUAUUUUAUGAUUAA